AGUGAACGCUGGCGGUAGGCCUAACACAUGCAAGUCGAACGGCAGCACAGUAAGAGCUUGCUCUUACGGGUGGCGAGUGGCGGACGGGUGAGGAAUACAUCGGAAUCUACUUUUUCGUGGGGGAUAACGUAGGGAAACUUACGCUAAUACCGCAUACGACCUACGGGUGAAAGCAGGGGAUCUUCGGACCUUGCGCGAUUGAAUGAGCCGAUGUCGGAUUAGCUAGUUGGCGGGGUAAAGGCCCACCAAGGCGGCGAUCCGUAGCUGGUCUGAGAGGAUGAUCGGCCACACUGGAACUGAGACACGGUCCAGACUCCUACGGGAGGCAGCAGUCGGGAAUAUUGGACAAUGGGCGCAAGCCUUAUCCAGCCAUACCGCGUGGGUGAAGAAGGCCUUCGGGUUGUAAAGCCCUUUUGUUGGGAAAGAAAAGCAGCAGGUUAAUACCCCGCUGUUCUGACGGUACCCAAAGAAUAAGCACCGGCUAACUUCGUG
rnacentral:rRNA from 1 species